rnacentral:rRNA from 1 species
CAAUAGCGUAUAUUAGAGUUGUUGCAGUUAGAACGCUCGUAGUCGGAUUUCGGGGCGUUCCGACCGGUCUGCCGAUGGGUAUGCACUGGCCGGAGUGUCCUUUUUGCCGGAGACCGUGCCUACUCUUAACUGAGCGGGGGCGGGAGACGGCACUUUUACUUUGAAAAAAUCAGAGUGUUUCAAGCAGGCAGCUCGCUCUUGCAUGGAUUAGCAUGGGAUAAUGAAAUAGGACUUUGGUGCUAUUUUGUUGGUUUCGAACACCGAAGUAAUGAUGAGAAGGGACAGUCAGGGGCACUCGUAUUCCGCAGAGAGAGGUGAAAUUCUCAGACCCGCGGAAGACGAACCACUGCGAAAGCAUUUGCCAGGGAUGUUUNCACUG